rnacentral:rRNA from 1 species
UGGGGAAUAUUGCACAAUGGGCGCAAGCCUGAUGCAGCCAUACCGCGUGUGUGAAGACGGCCUUCGGGUUGUAAAGCACUUUCAGCAGGGAAGAAAAGUUCGCAGUUAAUAACUGCGGGCCUUGACGGUACCUGCACAAGAAGCACCGGCUAACUCCGUGCCAGCAGCCGCGGUAAUACGGAGGGUGCAAGCGUUAAUCGGAAUUACUGGGCGUAAAGGGCGCGUAGGCGGUUUGGUUAGUCAGAUGUGAAAGCCCCGGGCUUAACCUGGGAACUGCAUUUGAUACUGCCAGACUAGAGUGUGGUAGAGGGAAGUGGAAUUCCGCGUGUAGCGGUGAAAUGCGUAGAUAUGCGGAGGAACAUCAGUGGCGAAGGCGACUUCCUGGACCAACACUGACGCUCAGGUGCGAAAGCGUGGGGAGCAAACAGG